rnacentral:rRNA from 1 species
UACGUAGGGUCCGAGCGUUGUCCGGAAUUAUUGGGCGUAAAGAGCUCGUAGGCGGUUUGUCGCGUCUGCUGUGAAAUCCCGAGGCUCAACCUCGGGCCUGCAGUGGGUACGGGCAGACUGGAGUGCGGUAGGGGGAGACUGGAAUUCCUGGUGUAGCGGUGAAAUGCGCAGAUAUCAGGAGGAACACCGGUGGCGAAGGCGGGUCUCUGGGCCGAUACUGACGCUGAGGAGCGAAAGCGUGGGGAGCGAACAGG